CUUCCUUUGGACAGCCAUUAAAAUUUUGAUGGUUUGCCUUGGGGGUGAGACAAGUUAGAUGGACGGACUAAUUUUGGGCAGAUCAUUUUGCUGCCUCUGGCCUGUUGGUACUGGGUAGAUUAUAUUUGCAAUCUAUUGGUGGGGUUCUUUUUUAUUUGUUUGUUUCGUUUGUGCUCUUGCUUCCGGUGGCUUUCUUGCUUGGAUUUUUUUUUUUGGGUAUCCUGGUUGAUGAAUUUUCAAUUAGGGCUCUUCUUACGGACAGGAGGCGGAGCUGCUGGUUAACAUUAAAGAGCAUGUUCUUGUUCCUGAGCAUCAGGUGCUUACAAAUGAAGAGAAGAAGACCAUGCUGGAACGAUAUACAUUGAAA